rnacentral:rRNA from 1 species
UGGGGAAUAUUGCACAAUGGGCGCAAGCCUGAUGCAGCCAUGCCGCGUGUAUGAAGAAGGCCUUCGGGUUGUAAAGUACUUUCAGUCGGGAGGAAGGUGUCAAGGUUAAUAACCUUGGCAAUUGACGUUACCGACAGAAGAAGCACCGGCUAACUCCGUGCCAGCAGCCGUGGUAAUACGGAGGGUGCAAGCGUUAAUCGGAAUUACUGGGCGUAAAGCGCACGCAGGCGGUUGAUUGAGUCAGAUGUGAAAUCCCCGGGCUUAACCCGGGAAUUGCAUCUGAUACUGGUCAGCUAGAGUCUUGUAGAGGGGGGUAGAAUUCCAUGUGUAGCGGUGAAAUGCGUAGAGAUGUGGAGGAAUACCGGUGGCGAAGGCGGCCCCCUGGACAAAGACUGACGCUCAGGUGCGAAAGCGUGGGGAGCAAACAGG